CUGGGAAGUGUCGUGUUUGAAAUACAAACGCUUUUUCACCUUGUUUAUUUCUGUUGUAUUUUACUGGAACCCAUGCUCAUAGAACUCGGUGUCCCUGUAGUAGGCUGUCCACCACGCGGCACUCGGCGUUCAGACCGCACGGCUGGAUGGCCUGGCACGGGUUCACGCACCGGUGGCCCAUGCACGCGUGCCGCGACGGACACUCGGCGUCGGUGGUGCACUCGUGGCGCGGCUCGUCCGGAACUGCGGGCGGCCAGAGGCGGCGUCAGAGACAUUCACCAGCACUGCGUCGGUUCCGGGCCAUCGGCAGUGGAUCCCGGACACGGGUCGACACACUUCUCUCCGACGCACGCCUGGUGACUGGGACAGUCGGAGUGGAUGGUGCACUCCGGUCGGCAGUUGGGCGGGCUGGACAAGUAGCCAGGCAGGCACGAACAGUCGGCGUUCUGCCCGCAGGAUCCCGGACACGGGUCGACACACUUCUCUCCGACGCACGCCUGGUGACUGGGACAGUCGGAGUGGAUGGUGCACUCCGGUCGGCAGUUGGGCGGGCUGGACAAGUAGCCAGGCAGGCACGAACAGGUGCGCCGGAUGCCAAGCCGGAGACAUUCGACUAAGACAAACUUUCGACACACACUGAAGACGACAAAGCACAAGGCAACUAAUUUGGGGUUCAACACUGACAGCAAACAAUGAGAUGGCUAUCAGUAUCGGCGUGAUCUCCCUGGAUGACCCGGCUCGACGACGUCCCUAACCAAUCAACGAAACGCCAGUUCCGUCUUAAUUUGGAUUGGAGCCGACUCUUUCGGCACCCUGCCUUCUGGUAAGUACGCCGAAACUAUCUCUGACAUGAUGGUUACUACAUACAUACGCGAGAGAUCGCCCAUGCCCUUUUCACGGAUCUGGUCGCCAGUAUCAGAACUAGUGCAAACUUCCUCGAGUGAACUAAGACCAGUGCUAGUAUAACCAUGACUUUGUACCACGUUGAGCAGAAACUACCGCUAUGACUCAGUGAUCACUUUGCGCUGUCAAUAGGGCAAGCGCUGCGAGCGUCCCUUCACCUUAGAACCACGUAACCAACCACCAUAUCACAACGUUCUCCCUGCUUGAAGGCAAUGGGAGCUGUCAUUAGCUUUUCCAGAAAAUCAUCUUAGAAUUUACUUUCCUGUUCACUAAUCAGACGGCUAGGUCUGUAAAGGGUUUAUGUCAAUAA
rnacentral:lncRNA from 1 species